UGUAAGUAUAUAAGUCAUAUGGAAUAAUAUAUGAUAUACAAGUGAUAUUCUCUUAACUUUUACUCAGUAGCAAAGCUGCCAUUUUUAGAGGAUGGGAUUAGUUAUUAUAAUCUGACAACUUUUUUUUCUCUCAAAUUUUUCUGUCCAGAAAGAGGAAAUCAGCUACAAAAAGGGAAAAUCACAUCCUUGAAGUUUUAAACUGUUAAAAUUUAUUGACAUAUCAUGCUUUUUAUUCUCCUAGAAAACAACAGCAGCAACAGUAAUUGCAUGAAAUAGUACAAUUCUCUUCACCAAUUCAUUAAUAGUUACCUGGCAAAGGGAUUCCUAGAUAAGUGAUAAAUCAUUUGGGUCUAUUAAUCUACUGCAGUGUAUGUAUAUAUUGCUUGUCUCACUACAGGAGAUUAUCUGAUGCAGACUGAUAAGAUCUGGCAUGCUUUAUAUUUAGAAGCUAGUAACAAGAGAUCAACCAAUGAAAAUAGUCAGUGAACUACUUCUGGGGGCUGUACAUGUACCACAAAAAGUAAUCCAUAGCUUUUUCUGUUUUAUAUCAGAGUAAUCUUCAAAAUUUGUGAGUAUGUGAUUGAAUGGAAUAAAAUCUUCCUCUAGUACAAAAAUAUUUUAACAUCAUAGAUGUAUCAAUACCUUCAUUAGCUGACUGUAAAUGGCACAUUUGCCCAAGAAUAUCAAAAUUUCAAAUCUACACAGGAAGUUCUUUGACAGAGAGCAGAAUAGAGUAAACAUUUGGGAGAGUGUUUCCCUAAAUAUUUUACUAUGUGCAGCUUAUUUCAUCUUGGAAGUUAACAACAAUUAACAGAAUGCACCAGGUAUAGCAUCAUAUGUGUAUAUAAAGUAUCAGCACACAUGAAUGAAUUGAGACAUGUUUAGUGAUCCAAUGUAUUGUGUUCAAAGAUUCCAUCCAACAGUUCAAAGACAUGUCAUAGCAGUGAAGCAAAUGCAUGGUGGCAAAUGAUGGCUUUGUGGUGGUUAGUAAAAACUGUGGCAAUCUACAUUGGUGGUGGCAAACACUAACAGAAAAUUUCUGGAUCAGCAGUGACAUGAAGUUGAUGAAAUAAUGACAUAUUUUACUAAGUACAGUAACUGUACUGAAGAUGUAAUUGCGAAAAUUAUUUAAUAAAAAAUGUUAUGGCUAUCAGUGGAAAACAUUGAUAUACUACAAUAAGAGUGGAACUAACAUUUUAACACUAUUGUUUGUACUAUUAUACAUCACCUAGUUCAAAAUUCUUAAGCAUUUUUGUUAUAUUAUAGACUUUUGGCAUUGAAAAACAUAGUUAUUUAAAGAUGUAAUAAUACCGUUAUUGUUCUAAAUUAGUUUAAAUGCUGACUGAUUUAAGAACAAUCAAAAUAAAAGGUUGAUUUACAUUUAUUGUUUCAUUUUUAUUGAGUGACCUUACAUUUAGAUUUGUGAUCACUUUUCUGUCUGUCCAUAAAUACGUAUCAGUCAAAAAUGAUAGUCAGUUCUUAGAUUUUGAAUUUUUUUGUAAAUUAAGGGUAUAUUUUUACUUGUCUGUUAUUGUGUUUUAAUUUUCUUUUAAUGCUCUUUCAUAUGCAGACCUAAUUGCAGGAUUUUUUUUUAGGAACUUUCAAUUUCUGCAAGCUUGCGCAAGCUUACGGCAAGCUUGCACAAGCUUACAGCAAGCUUGCAAAUUGAAAUCAAAUACAAGGGCCUGCAAGCUUGCGCAAGCUUGCAACAAGGUUCCAAUUCUAAGCUUGCAGCAAGGUUCAUGCGCAUAAGCUUGCGCAAGCUUGCAAAAUGAAA